rnacentral:tRNA from 1 species
GAGGGUAUAGCUCAGUGGUAGAGAGCAUGCCUAGCAUGCAUGAGGUCCUGGGUUCAAUCCCCAGAACCUCCA